GCUGCCCUAGGCAGGACAAAACUCAGGCGCCCCCCUCCCCUGCGCGCGCGACCCCCACCCAUCCCUUCCCCCGCCCCGCCUUCUAAAUACACACACACACACACACUGACAGAUACGCAUACACUAGCUAACAGAAACACAAACUCACUGACACACACAGACACACACUAGCAGACACACACACACUGACACACACACUCACUGGCAGACAAACACACACAGUCAGACACACACACACACUCACUGACACACACACUCACUGGCAAACAUACACACACAGUCAGACACACACACACACUGGCAAACAUACACACACAGUCAGACACACAAACACACUCACUCACUAGCAGACACACACACACACUCACUGACACACACACUCACUCGCAAACAUACACACACAGUCAGACACACAAACACACUCACUCACUAGCAGACACACACACUCACUGACACACACACUCACAGGCAAACACACUCACACUAACAGUCAGACACACACACUAACAGACACACACUAACUCACAUUAAUACAUGUAUUUUGUUUUAACCCCCCCCCCUCCAGCCUCCUUACCUUUGGGAAUGCUGGGGGUGGGGGUUCUCUCUCUUCCUG